rnacentral:rRNA from 1 species
CGACACCGCGUGAAGGAUGAAGGCCCUCGGGUUGCAAACUUCUUUCMGUKGGGAAGAAGCGAAAGUGGCGGUACCCACAGAAGAAGCCCCGGCCAACUACGUGCCAGCAGCCGCGGUAAUACGUAGGGGGCAAGCGUUGUCCGGAUUCAUUGGGCGUAAAGAGCUCGUAGGCGGCUUGGCAAGUCGGUCGUGAAAUACCGAGGCUCAACCUCGGAACGCCGAUCGAAACUGCCAUGGCUAGGGUCCGGUAGAGGAGAGUGGAAUUCCCGGUGUAGCGGUGAAAUGCGCAGAUAUCGGGAGGAACACCAGUAGCGAAGGCGGCUCUCUGGGCCGGUACCGACGCUGAGGAGCGAAAGCGUGGGGAGCAAACAGGAUUAGAUACCCUGGUAGUCCACGCCGUAAACGUUGGGUACUAGGUGUGGCGGGUUCAUCAAUGCCUGCCGUACCGAAGCUAACGCAUUAAGUACCCCGCCUGGGGAGUACGGUCGCAAGGCUAAAACUCAAAGGAAUUGACKGGGGSCCGCACAAGCGGCGGAGCAUGCGGCUUAAUUCGAUGCAACGCGAAGAACCUUACCUGCCCUUGACAUCCUCGGAACUUGUCAGAGAUGACUUGGUGCCUUCRGGAACCGAGUGACAGGUGCUGCAUGGCUGUCGYCAGCUCGUGUCGUGAGAUGUUGRGUUAAGUCCCGCAACRAGCGCAACCCUUGGUWCUUAGUUGCC